AUUCAAUUUUAUUUCUAGUAUCAAAUUAUAACAAGGGUUAUCUCAAGACUCUUUACAGAUAGAGAAUUCCAAAACACACUAUAAAUUACAAAGACCCAGCG